rnacentral:misc_RNA from 1 species
GGCCGAUCGCGGGGUGUGAGAGGCGGAUUGCGCUGCCUGAGGAUGUGAAGGUGGAGCAGAUUAAGGCCCAGGUGGAGAAUGGGGUGCUUACUGUCAUAGUGCCGAAGGAGCCGCCGCCGCCGAAGAUGAAGCCCAGGACCAUCCCUGUGACGAGCAAGCUUUGAUGAUUAUUAGAGUUGGACUACGUAUGUAUCAGUGAUCUCCAAUAAACCGCUGCUUUGUUUGUCUUUCGGUUUGAUGGUUUGAUUAUGGUGACCGAAUUAAUAUAAAAAUUAUGGAAACA